CCCCUAGAUGUUCUGGGCCGCACGCGCGCUACACUGAACAGUUCAACAAGUCUUAACCUUGGCCGAUAGGUCUGGGUAAUCUUUGAACGCUGUUCGUGAUUGGGAUAGACCUUUGCAAUUAUGGGUCUUCAACGAGGAAUUCCUAGUAAACGCAAGUCAUCAGCUUGCAUUGAUUACGUCCCUGCCCUUUGUACACACCGCCCGUCGCUCCUACCGAUCGAGUGAUCCGGUGAAUGUUUUGGAUCGGUUGCAAGUUGCGCGACGCGCUUCUUGCAUGCUGUGAAAUCAUGUAAGCCUUAUUGCUUAGAGGAAGGAGAAGUCGUAACA
rnacentral:rRNA from 1 species